rnacentral:misc_RNA from 1 species
AUGGGCGCAUUUAUAAACAAAAGAGUUGGCACUGAUGACGAUAUUACCUAAACUAUAAACCAGGGAGUGUGUAUAUAUAUAUUCCACAAAGAUUGGAGGAUCUGAGAGCUCCAAAUGAAUUAGCUGUGUUCUUGCGUCGUGCUUACUCGAUCAUACCAUUCUGGACUCAGGAAUCGCACAAUUGAACAAAUGCUGCAACUGUUGCAACACUUGAGAAAUACAUUAGCUUCAGGAAAUGCCGGUACUGUUAUCUAUAGGAUGUUCUCCUGCUCUUUAUUCUCAGUUUUUGUAAUCCACAUCCUUCGGAUGGGAUCAAAG